GAUCCUGGCUCAGGAUGAACGCUGGCGGCGUGCUUAACACAUGCAAGUCGAGCGAAGCACUCUGCUUUGAUUCUUUCGGGAUGAAGAGCAUUGUGACUGAGCGGGCGGACGGGUGAAGUAACGCGUGGGUAACCUGCCUCAUACAGGGGGAUAACAGUUAGAAAUGGCUGCUAAUACCGCAUAAGACCACAGCACCGCAUGGUGCAGGGGUAAAAACUCCGGUGGU
rnacentral:rRNA from 1 species